ACUAAGAUUCACUGUAAAGUCCUUAAAAAGUGCCGUUUGCAACCAGCUCUGCGUCUUCACCCGUGGUCCAGAGGGACCGUGAGGACUCGCUGGUCAUUCAUUCUCCAGGAUUAUGUGGCAUCAGAGAGGCAGUGCUGGCCGGCCCCAGGUUGAUGGCUCAGACCAACAUCCAGCUCUUUGAAUUGAAUUGAGGACUCAGUGCUGCUGGCCAGACUCUCCCUUCAGCAAAGGGUCUGUUCUUGGUCCAGGUGGGACAAGAACAGACCUUUAACUUCAAUGUCCUGGAGGAGCAGCCUGGGCCCUCCAGCAGGGCCGCUCAUCCAUUGCUGUUGGUCCUCCCCUCGCUCCAGCACCACUCCCCUCCUCUGUUCAUCACCUCCUCUACCUGGACUACCUGUACCCAGGACCAGAGCCUACAGGAAGAGGAAGGUGGCCCGAAGCUGCUGUGGCAGAGCGGGGGUCGCUGCCUGGAGGAAAAACCCCUCCAGCUGCCAACAUCAUACAUCUGCAGCAAGUGUGGCCAACCCAGAAGGAUUGACACUGACUUCACUCACAUUGCAGGUGUGUCACACUGUGACUGUUGGUGGAAAGACUGUGGAGAAGUGGAGGGAAGAGAGGAAGAGAAGACAGGACAACUUCUUCUAUCUUCAUUUGUAACUUUUAAUUGACAUUAUUUAUUAUUUUAUUAUUAUAUUUCAUUUGUUGCAUUGGGAGUGGUGUUUGUGUCACCUGAUGUGUCAUGAUGAUCUCAGUCCAGUGUUCCCUCUCUUUUAGCUCUGUAUACAGUAUAUAUAUUGACAGAAACACACAAACACCAUCUCCAUGAUUUGGAUUACCUUCAAAAUUAAACUCUCAACAUGGUAAGAGGGAAUUAUUGGCUCUGUUGUACUAAACCUUAUGUAAUUUAUACUGCCAAACACAGAAGCAUAGACACUUUCAAAAUAAGAGUCUUAAAAGGUAAGAGGUAAGGUAGGUCAUAAAAGUCUGAUCUUAGAAGCAAUCGUCUAUAUGAGGAUGUAGUAGUAUAGCUUUAUGGCAGAUCAACUUCUGUUAGGUCAUGUACGUGUGUGUAUACAUGUACGUGUGUGUAUACAUGUCUUGCUGUGGUUGUGGGGACAAAUUUGUGUUUGAAACCAUCAGUGUGAGGUUAUUGUGGCCAGUCGUGACAGUUUCAAAAGGCUCACUGAAGGACAGCUGCAAGGACUGAUGUCAGUGUCAGGAUGAGUCUCUACGACAGGUAACGUCCUUUGUGCAGAUUGAAACGUGAGGAGUGAAGUUCACGCACCGAGCAGCAGGAACAUUCAAAAGUUCUCCAGGAAUUUUCUAGUUGUUUAUUCUCUGUCCUCAGUGUUCAGAUUCACUUUCUUGCCUUUUACUUCAUUUCUACUGUUGUUGAUAGAUGACAGUAACAACAUGUGAAGAGCAGAAUGUGUUCAGCUCACACACUCUUUAGUGUGAACUGAACACUGACAGUUCAGAUUGUGAAGCAGGUGUCAGUGUAGUACAGCUCAUGUUCAUUAGUUUUAUUCAGAACUUCAUUGUUGUCAUUGAAAAGAUGUUUAAUAAAUAAACCUGUGAUUAAAUUGUA